GUGUAGGUUGGAUUUAUGGCAGGCCCAUCCCCCUGGGCUUCUCAGUAUCAUGCCAAAGCAAACUGUGGCCCCGAACCAUUGCCUGGUCUCUCCCUGUGCACUGUAGGCACUGAAGGGGAUACAGAGGA
ensembl:snoRNA